rnacentral:rRNA from 1 species
GAUGAACGCUAGCGGCAGGCCUAACACAUGCAAGUCGAACGGUAACAGGGAUUGCUUGCAAUCCGCUGACGAGUGGCGCACGGGUGCGUAACGCGUAUACAAUCUGCCUUUAAGCGGGGAAUAGCCCAUGGAAACGUGGAUUAAUACCUCAUAGUAUUAUGAUUUCACCUGGAAUUAUAAUUAAACAUUUAUGGCUUAAAGAUGAGUAUGCGUCCUAUUAGUUAGUUGGUAAGGUAACGGCUUACCAAGACGGCGAUAGGUAGGGGUCCUGAGAGGGAGAUCCCCCACACUGGUACUGAGACACGGACCAGACUCCUACGGGAGGCAGCAGUGAGGAAUAUUGGACAAUGGAGGCAACUCUGAUCCAGCCAUGCCGCGUGCAGGAAGACGGCCCUAUGGGUUGUAAACUGCUUUUAUACGGGAAGAACCACAUCUACGUGUAGAUGCUUGACGGUACCGUAUGAAUAAGACCGCUAACU